rnacentral:lncRNA from 1 species
AUGGUUAGACUUCUGGGACAGUUAUCACACCACACUCCUAACGGACUCCUCGCCAGCAUCCGCAAUGGCCAUGACAGAUAUUACAACAAGUACAUCAACGUGAAGAAGGGAGGUAUCGGAGGCGUGGCCAUGCUGCUGGUUGGAUACGUGGCCCUCAGUUACCUCUGGGAGUACGACCACCUCAAGCACGACCGCUGGAGGAAGUACCACUAAGCCCCUCCUCUCCUGACCCAGCAGGGCAGAGCCCUGACCUCUGACCCCCUGGCUCCAGCUGUCUGUAUUAUACCACCGAUGUGACCAAUAAUAAAAUAUAACUACUUCUAAUAUUUACAUUUGAUCUGCUGUGUUUGGAGGUUCAUUACAGUGUUUGGAUGUUUUAUUUGCUAGUUGAUAUGACUGUGGACAUAAAUAAAUGUUUUGUUAAAUGGGGAAACGUUACAGUGAACUCAAAUCUAAUUUUUAUUUGUCACAUACACGUGUUUAGCAGAUGUUGGUGUCUAGCUCUAACAGUACAGUAAUAUCUAACAAUGAACACAUCUCUAAAAUAAAUGUAUAAAUAUUUUGAUGCUCAAUGUCACAGUGACAGACUAAGAUACAGUAUAUACAUUUGAUGAAUAAUGUAUAAUUUGUAAACAUUAAAAUGGCCAGUGAUUCCUAGUCUAUGU